rnacentral:lncRNA from 1 species
ACGAGGUUAGUGGCAAAAAUAGCGGUGGAUCCUGCGUCUGGUGUUCGCGUUUCUGGUUUUGUUUCACAGGUUUUGAGAUGCGAGGAUGAAGGCGAAAGAGACGAACUCACGGUGCUUCAGUGGCAGCGACGACUGUGACAUGACGAUAGUUGACGGACGACCCAGAUUUUGGGGGUUUGCGCGCCAAAUCCGGCCCGCAAAGAGGCGCGAUUUCC